GCCAACAUAGCUCAGCCGGUAGAGCAGCUCAUUCGUAAUGAGCAGGUCAGCAGUUCAAGUCUGCUUGUUGGCU
rnacentral:tRNA from 1 species